CCUACGGGUGGCAGCAGUGAGGAAUAUUGGUCAAUGGACGGAAGUCUGAACCAGCCAUGCCGCGUGCAGGAAGACGGCUCUAUGAGUUGUAAACUGCUUUUGUACAAGGGUAAACCUGAAUACGUGUAUUCAGCUGAAAGUACUGUACGAAUAAGGAUCGGCUAACUCCGUGCCAGCAGCCGCGGUAAUACGGAGGAUCCAAGCGUUAUCCGGAUUUAUUGGGUGUAAAGGGUGCGUAGGCUGUGAGGUAAGUCAGCGGUGAAAUGCCCCCGCUCAACGGGGUGAAGUGCCAUUGAUACUGCCUUGCUGGAAUGCGGAUGCCGUGGGAGGAAUGUGUGGUGUAGCGGUGAAAUGCAUAGAUAUCACACAGAACACCGAUUGCGAAGGCAUCUCACGAAUCCGCGAUUGACGCUGAUGCACGAAAGCGUGGGUAUCGAACAGGAUUAGAUACCCUUGUAGUC
rnacentral:rRNA from 1 species